GGACCCUUAGCUCAGCGGUAGAGCAUCUGAUUCCAGAGCGUCACGUGAUACACAUUAAGCGCCCGCUUAUCAGAAUCUCCAGAAGGUCGUCCGUUCAAUCCGGGCAGGGUUCA